AAACGAUGUGCACUAGAUCGAGGGAGUUCUGACACUAUUCUCGGUCGAAGCAAAAGUGUUAAGUGCACCGCCUGGGGAGUACGGUCGCAAGGCUAAAACUCAAAGGAAUUGACGGGGGCUCACACAAGCGGUGGAGCAUGUGGCUUAAUUCGAAGCAACGCGAAGAACCUUAUCCUGGGUUUGACAUGCACGGAUUAGCUCCCUGAAAGGGGAGUGACACCCUCGGGUGGAACGUGCACAGGUGCUGCAUGGCUGUCGUCAGCUCGUGCCGUGAGGUGUUAGGUUAAGUCCUUUAACGAGCGAAACCCCUGUCGUUAGUUGCCAGCGAGUAAUGUCGGGGACUCUAGCGAGACCGCCGGCGUCAAGUCGGAGGAAGGUGGGGACGACGUCAAGUCCGCAUGGCCUUUAUGCCCAGGGCUGCACACGUGCUACAAUGGCCGGUACAGAACGACGCAAUACCGCGAGGUGGAGCAAAUCGCUUAAAGCCGGCCCCAGUUCGGAUUGCAGGCUGCAAUUCGCCUGCAUGAAGUUGGAAUCGCUAGUAAUCGCGGAUCAGCUACGCCGCGGUGAAUACGUUCCUGAGCCUUGUACACACCGCCCGUCAAGUCAUGGAAGCUGGCAGCGCCUUAAGUCGCCACACAUCAGUGGUGCCCACGGCGAAGCUGGUGACUGGGACUAAGUCGUAACAAGGUAACCGUA
rnacentral:rRNA from 1 species